UACGUAGGGGGCAAGCGUUGUCCGGAUUUAUUGGGUUUAAAGGGUGCGUAGGUGGUCUAUUAAGUCAGUGCUGAAAUAUCCCGGCUUAACCGGGAGGGUGGCAUUGAUACUGAUGGACUUGAGUAAAGUUGAGGUAGGCGGAAUUGACGGUGUAGCGGUGAAAUGCUUAGAUAUCGUCAAGAACACCUAUAGCGAAGGCAGCUUACUAAGCUUUAACUGACGCUGAGGCACGAAAGUGUGGGGAUCAAACAGG
rnacentral:rRNA from 1 species